AUCCCCUUUUGAUGUUGUACCUGUUCAUAGGUCUAGUUCAUACUACUUCAUAGGUACAGACCUCACCAUUCCAAUCAAGAUGACAUACAGAGAUUAUUUUUGAUGUCCUGCAUAUUGGUUGUGCAAGCAGGGCGUUAAGGGAAACAUUGGCGAUUUGCCAACACAUUUUGUAGGUA
rnacentral:sRNA from 1 species